rnacentral:rRNA from 1 species
ACUCCUACGGGAGGCAGCAGUGGGGAAUAUUGCACAAUGGGGGAAACCCUGAUGCAGCCAUGCCGCGUGUGUGAAGAAGGCCUUCGGGUUGUAAAGCACUUUCAGUAGGGAGGAAGGUAGUGUAGUUAACACCUGCAUUAUUUGACGUUACCUACAGAAGAAGCACCGGCUAACUCCGUGCCAGCAGCCGCGGUAAUACGGAGGGUGCGAGCGUUAAUCGGAAUUACUGGGCGUAAAGCGCAUGCAGGCGGCCUGUUAAGUCAGAUGUGAAAGCCCGGGGCUUAACCUCGGAAUUGCAUUUGAAACUGGCAGGCUAGAGUCUUGUAGAGGGGGGUAGAAUUUCAGGUGUAGCGGUGAAAUGCGUAGAGAUCUGAAGGAAUACCAGUGGCGAAGGCGGCCCCCUGGACAAAGACUGACGCUCAGAUGCGAAAGCGUGGGGAGCAAACAGGAUUAGAUACCCUGGU